GGUCCAAUUUGAUUCUUUUUCACUUUAUUCACCUGGAUAUGGGUUGGUCACUUCUUCAUGUUUCAAUUCAUUUUCAUCACCCACCAUAGUCUCACUACUUAUCUGACCAAGUUGCUUGCCACUUCUCAAUGUAACUGCUUUAUAGUGCUCCUUUGGAUUCACUUCGAUCUUGCUAGGCAGAUUUUCUUAUCCACGUGAAUUAAUUAAACUUGUUAACUGCCCCAUUUGCAUUUUCAAGUUUCUGUUAUAACUGGCCAACUGAU
rnacentral:lncRNA from 1 species